UAGCAACUCUUGAGCUUCCUGCCU
rnacentral:siRNA from 1 species